rnacentral:rRNA from 1 species
GUAGGGAAUCUUCCACAAUGGACGCAAGUCUGAUGGAGCAACGCCGCGUGAGUGAAGAAGGCUUUCGGGUCGUAAAACUCUGUUAUUGAAGAAGAACGUGUGUGACAGUAACUGGUCAUGCAGUGACGGUAUUCAAUCAGAAAGUCACGGCUAACUACGUGCCAGCAGCCGCGGUAAUACGUAGGUGGCAAGCGUUGUCCGGAUUUAUUGGGCGUAAAGCGGGUGCAGGCGGUCUUUUAAGUCUGAUGUGAAAGCCUUCGGCUUAACCGAAGAAGGGCAUCGGAAACUGGGAGACUUGAGUGCAGAAGAGGAGAGUGGAACUCCAUGUGUAGCGGUGAAAUGCGUAGAUAUAUGGAAGAACACCAGUGGCGAAGGCGGCUCUCUGGUCUGUAACUGACGCUGAGGCUCGAAAGCGUGGGUAGCAAACAGGAUUAGAU